rnacentral:lncRNA from 1 species
AACUAACAUUGGGUUUCAAACUUGACUAUUCCUUGUCAAUUUGUUUCUUUUUCCUCUCUACAGAUAAUAUUGUCAGAAAUUAUGCCGCUUUUGAAGAGAUAAACUGAACUCUUUUGAUUCUGUGAGGUUAUUAAAGAAUAUUAAUUUUCAAAUCACGGUAAAAUCUUGAUUCAGCAACACAUGAGGAUAAUCAUUGUGUCCAUGGAAACCUUGGGAAGCAGUUGAAAGCCUGGUCCCUCUUGCCUGGAGCAUUAACACAACGUGGCUGCAAAGUUAGUCCUUUCCCACUACCAUCUCCUGAAUACUGGGACUAACUACACGUAUGCACGAACCUGCCCAUCUUUGCCUCUGUUAACAGCUGCCACUGUCUUUUCACGACAUGAUGGCUGACUUAAGUGAGUGGAAAAAUCAUAGGUGGUGUAGGGUAUCUUUUCGUUGACCCUCUUUUGGCUAGACUACAAACGGCUUUUUUUUCUUGGGUGCUACACGGGGUUUUGGACCU